AACUUGCCAUGUAUUGAGACAAUUUACUAACUUUCACCAAUACAAUGUGUUCCUCUUCGUCAGAUAAUAAGUGAUGACUUUAGCGCGCUUGGGGAAUGUAACUACUACAUAGCCAAGCAAACCAUCUGGUCCACUAACUUCGCCUUCGCCUUCCCCAAGCAUAGCCCCAUCAUACCGCUUUUCGACAAACUGAUAACAAUGAUGAAAGAAGGCGGCCUGAUCAAUCGAUACCGCGGGAUGUCCAUCCCGAAUGCCUCCCACUGCAUGGUCAGACCGGGCAAGGAAGGCGGCACCAAAUCUCUUGUCCUCUCAAUGGAUGACCUCGCGGGCAUUUUCCUGCUCGUCGUUGGAGGGGUGACUCUAGGAAUAUUCGCCAUCAUAAUCGAACUCAUCACACACAAGCUUAAGAAAAACUGAGAUUUGCUCUUCGGGUAUUAGGACUCCUUAACACAACCACAAAUCAAGCACCACAGUUUUAUUCACGUUUUUUAUUUAUUCUGUUUCAUAUUAAACUAAUUUCAAUUUUAUUUAGUUAACGACAGAGGCGAAGAAAAUUCUCUUCUUAAGCUAAUCAGUCUGCUUACUUCUUAGCUCUCUCUAAGAUGGGAUCUCGAAUCAGCGCACAUAUCGAUCCAAGUAUGAGCCACUGUUAGGUUUAUCUGCUUUCAAAUUGGACUGACAAUAAAUGUGUAUGCAAUGAUAGUUCGGCUUAGUGCUUAUUCAUCCUUUGUAUACACUUUCGUUACUAUUUGAAGAACUCGGACUGACCCAAAAUACUGACGCAUCGUUAAUUCCGUAGCCAUGAAAUACUGAAAAAAAAGAAUUUGCACAAAAGGGAUAAAAAAGGCCGGACUGACCAUUAAACAUCUGUUUCUACGAUUUGACGGCAAUAAAAGUGGAAUGAUUAAUAACACAUAGAAUUAUUAAUAAGUAAUGGAACUGAAAAAGAAUUGCUCCCUAAACACUGCCGAUUUUGUAGGUGAACUAAAAAAGAAUCUUCUAUAAUAAUCGAGGGGUGGCAAAACCAAAUUAGUUAGUUACUCUUCGAAAACAAGCAGUUUCCUUUACAUAAUGGAAUGGAAUCUAAGGAAGCUGCAAGGAACCUUAAGUGAAUAUAGUGCACUGACGGCGCUACCCUCACCCCCACAACGGGGAGAAAGUUUUAAUAAUGGACCUAUGCAAAAAAAAAAAAAAAAAAAAAAAAAAAGUCACGGCUUUAAGCCACAAUUUCUUUGAAAUACACUCCUUAAAGCAUCAUUCACAACUUAUGGUCAAAAUUUACAGGUGCUUGAAGCUCUCCACUAAUUCAAAGUUAAUGUUUAGAGUAGGGAGAUAACCAGCAAAGCUGUACUUUCUGUAUUGCUCAGUGCUGCUUCUUUAUAGAAUCAAUUUAACAGUUCUGUAGAGCAGAUGGUAGUAUACUACAGUGAUUCUAAUCGCUUCUGCAGCUGGAGAACUGUGGUAAGGUAUGUUUGAGUUGCAUAAACAUUUUUAUGAUUAAAUUUGAUACUUGCACUUUGUUGAGGGCAAUGUGAAGUUAUCAAAAAGCCUUAUAUGCAGCGUUUUGUUAUUAUGGUUACUGUUAUUUUCAUGAAAAUUAAUUAAUAUUAUACACAAGGAAUUAAGUGUUAAGUGUAACGAGAGGAAAAAUAUGCAACAACAUGCUUCACUUUACAUCAUUUGUCGUAAAUAGUACCUUUUCCUCUGCACUGGACAACAUAAAACCUUUGAAGAAUUCACAAAGUGCAUUACAACAAAGUCCUAGCCAACAAUUUAUAUUCAAAUUACUAAUUGGUUGUGUUUCACAGAUCUCCAAGAGGUGACCCCUGGAAUAGAAAAAAAAUUGACAGAAAAAGAAUGUAAAUUUCGCCACUCAGGAGCUAGAUAUACUGAACAUAAUACAUUCAUACAUAUAUGUGUAUAUGUGGUUCAAGCCCAGGAGACGACGAAUUUAUUAUCAACUAAACAAUUCCCUUUCGGUUAACAUAUAUGAAAAUAUAUUAUUUCCGAGGUAGAGCGAAUUGGAUAUUA